UACGUAGGGUGCGAGCGUUGUCCGGAAUUACUGGGCGUAAAGCGUGCGCAGGCGGUUUUGUAAGUCAGAUGUGAAAUCCCCGGGCUUAACCUGGGAACUGCGUUUGAAACUACAAGGCUAGAGUGUGGCAGAGGGGGGUGGAAUUCCACGUGUAGCAGUGAAAUGCGUAGAGAUGUGGAGGAACACCGAUGGCGAAGGCAGCCCCCUGGGUUAACACUGACGCUCAGGCACGAAAGCGUGGGGAGCAAACAGG
rnacentral:rRNA from 1 species